UACGAAGGGGGCUAGCGUUGCUCGGAGUCACUGGGCGUAAAGGGUGCGUAGGCGGGUCUUUAAGUCAGGGGUGAAAUCCUGGAGCUCAACUCCAGAACUGCCUUUGAUACUGAGGAUCUUGAGUACGGGAGAGGUGAGUGGAACUGCGAGUGUAGAGGUGAAAUUCGUAGAUAUUCGCAAGAACACCAGUGGCGAAGGCGGCUCACUGGCCCGUAACUGACGCUGAGGCACGAAAGCGUGGGGAGCAAACAGG
rnacentral:rRNA from 1 species